rnacentral:rRNA from 1 species
ACGUAGGAGGCGAGCGUUAUCCGGAUUCACUGGGCGUAAAGCGCGUGCAGGCGGUUCGGUAAGUUGGGCGUGAAAGCUCCUGGCUCAACUGGGAGAGGCCGUCCGAAACUGCCGGGCUUGAGGGCGACAGAGGGGAGUGGAAUUCCGGGUGUAGUGGUGAAAUGCGUAGAUAUCCGGAGGAACACCAGUGGCGAAGGCGGCGCGCUGGGCCUGACCUGACGCUAAGACGCGAGAGCAUGGGGAGCGAACGG